AGAAGGUACGCUCUCGACGGUGAAGUCCCUCGCGGAUGGAGCUAUUGAGAGUCGCAGAUACCAGGUGGCUGCAACUGUUUAUUAAAAACACAGCACUGUGCAAAAUCGUAAGAUGACGUAUACGGUGUGACGCCUGCCCGGUGCCGGAAGGUUAAUUGAUGGGGUUAGACUUCGGUCGAAGCUCUUGAUCGAAGCCCCGGUAAACGGCGGCCGUAACUAUAACGGUCCUAAGGUAGCGAAAUUCCUUGUCGGGUAAGUUCCGACCUGCACGAAUGGCGUAAUGAUGGCCACGCUGUCUCCACCCGAGACUCAGUGAAAUUGAAAUCGCUGUGAAGAUGCAGUGUACCCGCGGCUAGACGGAAAGACCCCGUGAACCUUUACUACAGCUUGGCACUGAACAUUGACCCUACAUGUGUAGGAUAGGUGGGAGGCUUUGAAGCACGUACGCCAGUAUGUGUGGAGCCGUCCUUGAAAUACCACCCUUGUAGUGUUGAUGUUCUAACGUCGACCCCUGAUCGGGGUUGCGGACAGUGCCUGGUGGGUAGUUUGACUGGGGCGGUCUCCUCCCAAAGAGUAACGGAGGAGCACGAAGGUGGGCUAAUCACGGUUGGACAUCGUGAGGUUAGUGCAAUGGCAUAAGCCCGCUUGACUGCGAGAAUGACAAUUCGAGCAGGUGCGAAAGCAGGUCAUAGUGAUCCGGUGGUUCUGAAUGGAAGGGCCAUCGCUCAACGGAUAAAAGGUACUCCGGGGAUAACAGGCUGAUACCGCCCAAGAGUUCAUAUCGACGGCGGUGUUUGGCACCUCGAUGUCGGCUCAUCACAUCCUGGGGCUGAAGUCGGUCCCAAGGGUAUGGCUGUUCGCCAUUUAAAGUGGUACGCGAGCUGGGUUUAGAACGUCGUGAGACAGUUCGGUCCCUAUCUGCCGUGGGCGUUGGAAGAUUGAAGGGGGCUGCUCCUAGUACGAGAGGACCGGAGUGGACGAACCUCUGGUGUUCGGGUUGUGUCGCCAGACGCAUUGCCCGGUAGCUAAGUUCGGAAUCGAUAACCGCUGAAAGCAUCUAAGCGGGAAGCGAGCCCUGAGAUGAGUCUUCCCUGAUACUUUAAGUAUCCUAAAGGGUUGUCGGAGACUACGACGUUGAUAGGUCAGGUGUGUAAGUGCUGUGAGGCAUUGAGCUAACUGAUACUAAUUGCCCGUGAGGCUUAACCAU
rnacentral:rRNA from 1 species